AUUGAACGCUGGCGGCAUGCCUUACACAUGCAAGUCGAACGGCAGCGCGGGGCAACCUGGCGGCGAGUGGCGAACGGGUGAGUAAAAUAUCGGAACAUACCCUAGAGUGGGGGAUAACGUAGCGAAAGUUACGCUAAUACCGCAUACGCACUAAGGUGGAAAGUGAGGGAUCUUCGGACCUCAUGCUCAUGGAGUGGCCGAUAUCUGAUUAGCUAGUUGGUGAGGUAAAGGCUCACCAAGGCGACGAUCAGUAGCUGGUUUGAGAGAACGACCAGCCACACUGGAACUGAGACACGGUCCCAGACUCCUACGGGAGGCAGCAGUGGGGAAUUUUGGACAAAUGGGGGGCAAACCCUGAUCCAGCAAUGCCGCGUGAGUGAAGAAGGCC
rnacentral:rRNA from 1 species